rnacentral:rRNA from 1 species
GCAGUGGGGAAUAUUGCGCAAUGGGGGAAACCCUGACGCAGCGACGCCGCGUGUAGGAAGAAGGCUUUCGGGUCGUAAACUACUGUCAAGAGGGAAGAAACUGUUUGGGUAUAAUACGCCCUUUCACUGACGGUACCUCUAGAGGAAGGACCGGCUAACUCCGUGCCAGCAGCCGCGGUAAUACGGAGGGUCCAAGCGUUAAUCGGAAUCACUGGGCGUAAAGCGUGCGUAGGCGGCGCAUCAAGUCAGGCGUGAAAGCCCUCGGCUCAACCGAGGAAUUGCGUUUGAAACUGAUGUGCUAGAGUCUCGGAGAGGUUAGGGGAAUUCCAGGUGUAGGAGUGAAAUCCGUAGAUAUCUGGAGGAACACCGGUGGCGAAGGCGCCUAACUGGACGAGUACUGACGCUGAGGUACGAAAGCGUGGGGAGCAAACAGGAUUAGAUACCCUGGUAGUCCACGCCGUAAACGAUGGAUAUUAGGUGUCGGGGUUAACACUUCGGUGCCGCCAGU